UUUUAAAACGUCUCUAAUAUUACUGAUUAAAUAAAACAGUCCGUUCAACCAAAUUCACCGUCCAAUAAACAUUGUUCUUUCAAAAAAAACAAAACAAUAACAUUGCUAAUUUGUAUAGCAACAAGAAACAUAGUCAAAUCUCAAAUUUAAAGGACUAAUAAUUUCUAAAUUUUAAUCUUUGUUUAAUGGAGUUUUUGCAAAUAUGACUCAAAAAAGGUCAAAUGAUUUUUUAGAAUUUUUAUUCGUUCUACAAGUUCAGAUUAUUCACGAAAAUAUCAUUAUUAUUUUUCCGAAAAUGUUUGUUUUACUCAAUCAUCUUCAUCUUCCUCUUUUAUUUACAACAUUGUCAUCAAUACACAACCAUC
rnacentral:lncRNA from 1 species